rnacentral:rRNA from 1 species
CCUACGGGAGGCUGCAGUGGGGAAUAUUGGACAAUGGGGGGAACCCUGAUCCAGCCAUGCCGCGUGUGUGAAGAAGGCCCUCGGGUUGUAAAGCACUUUCAGUGAGGAAGAACGCCUGGUGGUUAAUACCCAUCAGGAAAGACAUCACUCACAGAAGAAGCACCGGCUAACUCCGUGCCAGCAGCCGCGGUAAUACGGAGGGUGCGAGCGUUAAUCGGAAUUAAUGGGCGUAAAGCGCGCGUAGGUGGCUUGAUAAGCCGGUUGUGAAAGCCCCGGGCUCAACCUGGGAACGGCAUCCGGAACUGUCAAGCUAGAGUGCAGGAGAGGAAGGUAGAAUUCCCGGUGUAGCGGUGAAAUGCGUAGAGAUCGGGAGGAAUACCAGUGGCGAAGGCGGCCUUCUGGACUGACACUGACACUGAGGUGCGAAAGCGUGGGUAGCAAACAGGAUUAGAUACCCGUGUAGUC